UCUCCGUUGGUGACCCAGCGGAGGGAUCAUUACCGAGUUUACAACUCCCAAACCCAAUGUGAACGUUACCAAACUGUUGCCUCGGCGGGGUCACGCCCCGGGUGCGUCGCAGCCCCGGAACCAGGCGCCCGCCGGAGGAACCAACCAAACUCUUUCUGUAGUCCCCUCGCGGACGUUAUUUCUUACAGCUCUGAGCAAAAAUUCAAAAUGAAUCAAAACUUUCAACAACGGAUCUCUUGGUUCUG
rnacentral:misc_RNA from 1 species